ensembl:lncRNA
CCCCCUUGUUAUGUUCACUUGAUACGCAACUUAGAAACGCAGUGCAUAAUUCACUUACAGUAGAGUACACCUUAUCAGGCCUGGCAGCACAGUCUCUGUCUAACCUCCGAUAGUCAACAUAAUGAGUAAACAUUAACCCAGCUCUACCUUUCUAUUCUUCAUCCUACACUGUAUUAAAACCCCUCAGCUGUGAAGGAGCUAGGCAAUGAACACUGCCUAGACUUAAGGAAUAAGGUAAAACAUAGCUUUUGGAUUGUGUGAAAGUGCUUACCUCACAAGACAGCAAGGCUUAAGGGAUUUCGGGAAUUGGAAGUGGACUUCUUGAACCAGAUGAAGGACAGGACCGUAUAAUAAAUAAUUAACAGAGGCCUACAUGUCCGAUUCCCUGUAUACAUCGUAAGCUUUACUGAGAACGUUAAUAGAUGUCUGUGGAAAGUGUUCUAGCAAAGGUUCCAGAGCAUCCUGGUCUGGAUGGGACAACAGAGGAUUGGGUCCAGUGGACUGUGCAGCGCCUGCAGAUGGAACCCUGGGCACUGGGGGGGGCCGUGGUCAUAGGGCUCUUCCUGCUGAUGAUCCUGGCUCUGGUGGUCUUUGCUCUGAUAUAUGGCUGUUGCUGCUCACCAAAGGGAGGAAAAAGGAGGAUGAAGAAUGGUGUGCUUUAGAGAAACGGGUGACCCCCAAUACCCCCAAUCUGUUGGCCAUUUCGAUGUUAUGUGAUUCCUUGACUACCCCCAAAAACACGCAUUUUUGUGAGACCCCAUUAUUUUUCAGCUUUACAGGCAAACCAAUCAAAAACAAAUUCUCAUUUACAAUGACCAGACAGCCAAAGGCAUAACAUAGCAGAUAACAUUCAGUUACCCAUAAAAACAAUUAAUAGAACAAAUUAAUAAAUUGUACCAUAAGAAGAGAUGAAAACAUACAGUAAGUACAGAUGGAUGAGGUCCAAAGGUGCUCACUAUUUAAGGUGAUAGAUACAGUAUACACAGAUAGAUAUGGUGCUUAGAAGAUGUUGUUUUCAAGUAGAAGCUUAGGCAAUUUGUAACAUUUAGCUCUGAGCCUCUAAAUUGUGUUGGCACAAUUUAGAGGCUAGGACUGGUUGGAUGGUCAGGUUUUUUUUGUAGCAUGGGAGAAGGAGGUUAGUUGUGAAACAGAAACCGAUUCUGGAUUUGACUUUUUGUUUAGAACAUUAAUUAAAUACUGAAUGAAAUAUUAACAUAUGUUCACUGAUUCACAUACUGUAAGUAUAACAAGAUGCACAUCAAGCAGCUUCAUUAAUUAAAUUUGGUUGAAAUGCAGCCAUGAUGACUGAAACCUGACACACCCAACCAAAAGAAAAGACAAUGUAAAAUAAAUAAUGUUAAUUAAUUCAUUUCAGCAAGAAGAUAUAAUGUUUGAUUAUACUUUUAAUGAAUGUGCUCAAUAAAAAGCCUUGAACCUUUUUAUAUAACUAUUUAAAAAAUCUCAUUAUCAUUCUAUGCCUACUGUUGCAACCGUCUGCAUCGGUCCCCCAUGGACAGGCCGGGUACCCCCAGGGGGCCCAGUAUCGACUAUUUUUGAACCUAUUAUUACAAACCGCUUUUAUAGGCCUAUCAGUCCUGCCCUACCUGUCUAAUGUUAUUGAAUGCCGAGUCAACAAACAGUUAAUGUGUCAUUUGGAUGGGCCAUCUCAGCAUUUCGAAAAGUUCUAAAUUAAAUAAUAUCUGACAAAAGCCGUAUUGUGCUGUUGUUGAUUGAUUUGACUAAAGCUGUUGACUAUACCAAACUUCCGAUCCUUAACAAUAAACACUGUAAUAUUGGGUUUUCAGAGGACAGAGGACAUUUGCGUUUUGAAAACUAGUAUUUCCAUGCAAAAUCUAAUAAUGGCAAUUUCUACGGGUGUGUUCUUCAAGGUUGGAUUCAUGGAUCGACCCUAUUCUAUGUAAAGACAUUGCACUUACUGCUGGUAACUCCCUCAUCUGCUUUUUCAUAAUGCAAUUUGAUUUAUAGAAUAGUUAAUCUGCCAUUAUUUUAAUUGUCUGAAACAUAGUCGUCAUGUUUCCCAGGGGCAGUGUUGCCAACUCUCGCGAGUCAAACAAGCAACUGCAGCUUCAAAAACAAGCCCAAUACUGUUAUAGCAUGUUACAGUCAAUUAAUGAGUCUACUUUGUUGGUGGCAUCGUUUGUGGUCAUGUAUCUAGUGCUAUGCCAUCAAAUGUCAUGAAUGAUGACUCAUCAUAACUGCUGUACUAAGUGUCUAUAAUACUCAGUACUUUGACCAUACUGUUCAUACUCCCCAUCCUACGCUAGUUAACAAUAGUUUUAUUGUUAUGUAUAUUAUUGCCAUACUUGCCAUAGGCUUAUCCAUGAUUUCAUACCACCACCAAUAUUGCUACUAGUUUACAGUACUCUUUCUAAACUGCUGCUAGUGUACAGUGUUAUGAAUAUUCUUGCUUUCUCUUCUUGAUAUAUUUUUGCUCUUAAUUCUCACUAUGUAGUUGUAGUGUGCUAUGUAACCAUUCAUUAGCUUAUUACACUCAUAUAUAACAUUCAAAAAUUCUACCAAAUUGCUGCAAGUUUAUAUUAUGUACAUUACUGCCUUACUUGUCAUAUCUAUAAUCAAUAAUUGGCUAAGAUUGCUGCUAGUUUACAGUAUACUCUUUUAAACUGCUGCUAGUGUGAAGUGUUAUGUAUAGUGCUGCUUUAUUUUUUGUCUGGCUAUAUUUUUCCUUAUGCAUUCUUCUUAACUCUCACUACGGAGGUGUCGGGUGCCAUGUCACAAUUUAAUUGUUCAGGAUGACGCUGUGUUGCUCGGUACAUUUGACAAAUAAACGUUGAAAUUGUAACAUC